AUUGAACGCUGGCGGCAUGCUUUACACAUGCAAGUCGAACGGUAACAGGCCGCAAGGUGCUGACGAGUGGCGAACGGGUGAGUAAUGCAUCGGAACGUGCCCAGUCGUGGGGGAUAACGCAGCGAAAGCUGUGCUAAUACCGCAUACGAUCUAUGGAUGAAAGCGGGGGACCGUAAGGCCUCGCGCGAUUGGAGUGGCCGAUGUCAGAUUAGGUAGUUGGUGGGGUAAAGGCCCACCAAGCCGACGAUCUGUAGCUGGUCUGAGAGGACGACCAGCCACACUGGGACUGAGACACGGCCCAGACUCCUACGGGAGGCAGCAGUGGGGAAUUUUGGACAAUGGGCGCAAGCCUGAUCCAGCAAUGCCGCGUGCAGGAAGAAGGCCUUCGGGUUGUAAACUGCUUUUGUACGGAACGAAACGGUCUGGGUUAAUACCCUGGGCUAAUGACGGUACCGUAAGAAUAAGCACCGGCUAACUACGUGCCAGCAGCCGCGGUAAAAC
rnacentral:rRNA from 1 species